CGAACCGGACAACGUUAUUCGGAAUCAUUGGGCUUAAAGGGUGCGUAGGCGGCCGCGCAAGUUGGGUGUGAAAUCCCUCGGCUCAACCGAGGAAUUGCGCCCAAUACUGCGUGGCUAGAGGGAGACAGAGGCGAGCGGAACUGAUGGUGGAGCGGUGAAAUGCGUUGAUAUCAUCAGGAACACCGGUGGCGAAGGCGGCUCGCUGGGUCUCUUCUGACGCUGAGGCACGAAAGCUAGGGUAGCGAACAGGAUUAGAUACCCUGGUAGUCCUAGCUGUAAACGAUGAGCACUUGGUCGGGGACCUUCCCAUGGGUUCCCGGCCGAAGCGAAAGUGUUAAGUGCUCCGCCUGGGGAGUAUGGUCGCAAGGCUG
rnacentral:rRNA from 1 species